GCUGGUGGCUCGCUCUCAAUAAU
rnacentral:misc_RNA from 1 species